rfam:Fusarium oxysporum f. sp. cubense tropical race 4 54006 unplaced genomic scaffold supercont1.1, whole genome shotgun sequence.
ACAUAUAACCAUACCUACCAGAGAACUCGGGAUCCCGUCUACUCUCCUAUAGAUAAGCUGGUAAGGGGCAGAUUAGUAGUUAGGUCGGUGAUAACCAGCGGAUCCCUGCUAUUAUAUAUU